rnacentral:rRNA from 1 species
UACAGAGGUCUCAAGCGUUGUUCGGAUUUACUGGGCGUAAAGGGUGCGUAGGUGGUGGGGUAAGUCCGCUGUGAAAUCUUCGAGCUUAACUCGAAAAUGGCAUUGGAUACUACUCUGCUAGAGGGCUGUAGGGGGGACUGGAAUUCUCGGUGUAGCAGUGAAAUGCGUAGAUAUCGAGAGGAACACCGGUGGCGAAGGCGAGUCCCUGGACAACUCCUGACACUGAGGCACGAAAGCUAGGGGAGCAAACAGG